UCAAACUUGGUCAUUUAGAGGAAGUAAAAGUCGUAACAAGGUUUCCGUAGGUGAACCUGCGGAAUGAUCAUUAAAAAAUCUUUUAAUUUUUAUGGAUCAAAAAAAAAUCCAUAAAUUCACCUUGUGUGCAACCAUUGAAAAAUGUGUUACCUUUGGGAGAUUAGUUUUUCUUAAAUCAUCUCCCAGAAGGUUAAAUUAAUUUACGUUUUAUUGUAUAUGACUUAAAAUAUAAUCAUAAAUAAAAACAACUUUCAACAACGGAUCUCUUGGCUCUCGCAUCGAUGAAGAACGCAGC
rnacentral:misc_RNA from 1 species